rnacentral:rRNA from 1 species
ACUCAAAUGAAUAGACGGGGACCCGCACAAGUGGUGGAGCGUGUUCUUUAAUUCGAUGGUAAGCGAAGAACCUUACCAGGGCUUGACAUCCUGCUAAGCUUGCCGAAAGGCGAGUGUGCCUUCGGGCCGCAGUGACAGGUGUUGCAUGGCCGUCGUCAGCUCGUGUCGUGAGAUGUUUGGUUAAGUCCAUUAACGAGCGCAACCCUUAUGGAUAGUUGAAUUUUUCUAUUCAGACUGCCUCGGAAACGGGGAGGAAGGAGGGGAUGAGGUCAGGUCAUUAUUACCCUUACGUCCUGGGCUAGAAACGCGCUACAAUGGCCGGUACAAAGGGCAGCCAACCCGCGAGGGGGAGCAAAUCCCAUCAAAACCGGUCCCAGUUCGGAUUGCAGGCUGAAACUCGCCUGCAUGAAGCCGGAAUCACUAGUAAUCGUAGGUCAGCACACUACGGUGAAUACGUUCCCGGGUCUUGUACACACCGCCCGU